rnacentral:misc_RNA from 1 species
GAUGAAGAACGUAGCGAAAUGCGAUAAGUAAUGUGAAUUGCAGAAUUCAGUGAAUCAUCGAAUCUUUGAACGCACAUUGCGCCCCUUGGUAUUCCGAGGGGCAUGCCUGUUCGAGCGUCAUUGCUGCCCUCAAGCACGGCUUGUGUGUUGGGCCUCCGUCCUCCUCCCGGGGGACGGGCCCGAAAGGCAGCGGCGGCACCGCGUCCGGUCCUCGAGCGUAUGGGGCUUCGUCACCCGCUCUUGUAGGCCCGGCCGGCGCUUGCCGACACAUCAAUCUUUUUUCCAGGUUGACCUCGGAUCAGGUAGGGAUACCCGCUGAACUUAAGCAUAUCAAUAAGCGGAGGA